UACGGGGGGGGCAAGCGUUGUUCGGAAUUACUGGGCGUAAAGGGCUCGUAGGCGGCCAACUAAGUCAGACGUGAAAUCCCUCGGCUUAACCGGGGAACUGCGUCUGAUACUGGAUGGCUUGAGUGUGGGAGAGGGAUGCGGAAUUCCAGGUGUAGCGGUGAAAUGCGUAGAUAUCUUGAGGAACACCGGUGGCGAAGGCGGGUCUCUGGGCCGAUACUGACGCUGAGGAGCGAAAGCGUGGGGAGCGAACAGG
rnacentral:rRNA from 1 species